UCCCGGUGCCUGUGUUUGGCUCCUUUAAAAUAAAGUAGCGUGUGACGCUUCUUGUUCUUUGAUAAGUGCAAUCUAGGAAGCAAAUGUGUGUAUGGAACAAUUAUAUCUUNNUUGAGUGUGUUGUAUCAUAUCUGAGGAACUACCAUUGAAUGAUUUUGAGUCAAGCCUAUACCAUCCACCGAAAUCCACCACUAGAAGAAUCGCGGGCGCUAUCUCGGCUCUCACAUGCCACAUUGCAACAGGGUCUGUGAGAACAAAAACAUGAUCUCUACCACCAGACCGCUUCCAGGCAUUGGAAUUCUUCACAAACUCAAUCACCUCCUUCUGCCUUUUGUAAUCCUCAUUGCCUUCCUUC
rnacentral:misc_RNA from 1 species